CAGGCCUAACACAUGCAAGUCGAACGAUAGCCUUCGGGUCAUAGUGGCGCACGGGUGCGUAACGCGUGGGAAUAUGCCAUGAGGAUAGGAAUAACAGAUGGAAACGACUGUUAAUACCGGAUGAUGACGUAAGUCCAAAGAUUUAUCGACCAAGGAUGAGCCCGCGUCAGAUUAGCUAGUUGGUGGGGUAUAGGCGUACCAAGACGAUGAUCCCUAGCUGGUCUGAGAGGAUGAUCAGCCACACUGGGACAGAGACACGGCCCAGACUCUUAUGGGAGACAGCAGUGGGGAAUAUUGCACAAUGGGCGAAAGCAUGAUCCAGCAAUACCGCGUGAGUGAUGAAGGCUUUAGGGUUGUAAAGAUCUUUUACCCGGGAUGAUAAUGACAUUUUUAUAGAGAAUAGGCUCUGUUAAACUCCGGGCCACCGGCCGCGGAUAAAA
rnacentral:rRNA from 1 species